rnacentral:rRNA from 1 species
CCUACGGGUGGCUGCAGUGGGGAAUAUUGGACAAUGGGGGCAACCCUGAUCCAGCCAUGCCGCGUGUGUGAAGAAGGCCCUCGGGUUGUAAAGCACUUUCAGUGAGGAAGAACGCCUGGUGGUUAAUACCCAUCAGGAAAGACAUCACUCACAGAAGAAGCACCGGCUAACUCCGUGCCAGCAGCCGCGGUAAUACGGAGGGUGCGAGCGUUAAUCGGAAUUACUGGGCGUAAAGCGCGCGUAGGUGGCUUGAUAAGCCGGUUGUGAAAGCCCCGGGCUCAACCUGGGAACGGCAUCCGGAACUGUCAAGCUAGAGUGCAGGAGAGGAAGGUAGAAUUCCCGGUGUAGCGGUGAAAUGCGUAGAGAUCGGGAGGAAUACCAGUGGCGAAGGCGGCCUUCUGGACUGACACUGACACUGAGGUGCGAAAGCGUGGGUAGCAAACAGGAUUAGAUACCCUAGUAGU